rnacentral:rRNA from 1 species
AGUUGCAGACAGCAAUCUGAACUGAGACGUUUUUUGGAGAUUUGCUCCACCUUUCCCUCUCGCUGCUCUUUGUUAAACGCCAUUGUAGUACGUGUGAGGCCCAGGUCAUAAAGGGCAUGAUGAUUUGACGUCAUCCCCACCUUCCUCCGUUUUGUCAACGGCAGUCUGAUUAGAGUGCUCUUGCGUAGCAACUAAUCAUAAGGGUUGCGCUCGUUGCGGGACUUAACCCAACAUCUCACGACACGAGCUGACGACAACCAUGCACCACCUGUCUUCGUGUCUCCGAAGAGAAGGUCCUAUCUCUAGAACGGUCACUUGAUGUCAAGACCUGGUAAGGUUCUUCGCGUUGCUUCGAAUUAAUCCACAUACUCCACUGCUUGUGCGGGCCCCCGUCAAUUCCUUUGAGUUUCAACCUUGCGGUCGUACUCCCCAGGUGGAUUACUUAUUGUGUUAACUGCGGCACGGAAGGGGUCAAUCCCCCCACACCUAGUAAUCAUCGUUUACGGCGUGGACUACCAGGGUAUCUAAUCCUGUUUGCUCCCCACGCUUUCGAGCCUCAGCGUCAGU